GAGUUUGUCUUGGCUCAGAUUGAACGCUGGCGGCAGGCCUAACACAUGCAAGUCGAGCGGAUGACGGGAGCUUGCUCCUUGAUUCAGCGGCGGACGGGUGAGUAAUGCCUAGGAAUCUGCCUGGUAGUGGGGGACAACGUUUCGAAAGGAACGCUAAUACCGCAUACGUCCUACGGGAGAAAGCAGGGGACCUUCGGGCCUUGCGCUAUCAGAUGAGCCUAGGUCGGAUUAGCUAGUUGGUGGGGUAAUGGCUCACCAAGGCGACGAUCCGUAACUGGUCUGAGAGGAUGAUCAGUCACACUGGAACUGAGACACGGUCCAGACUCCUACGGGAGGCAGCAGUGGGGAAUAUUGGACAAUGGGCGAAAGCCUGAUCCAGCCAUGCCGCGUAUGUGAAGAAGGUCUUCGGAUUGUAAAGCACUUUAAGUUGGGAGGAAGGGCAGUAAGUUAAUACCUUGCUGUUUUGACGUUACCGACAGAAUAAGCACCGGCUAACUCUGUGACAGCCGCCGCAAG
rnacentral:rRNA from 1 species